UACGUAGGGACCGAGCGUUGUCCGGAAUCAUUGGGCGUAAAGAGCGUGUAGGCGGUCCGGUAAGUCCGCUGUGAAAGUCGGGGGCUCAACCCUCGAAUGCCGGUGGAUACUGUCGGGCUAGAGUGCGGAAGAGGCGAGUGGAAUUCCUGGUGUAGCGGUGAAAUGCGCAGAUAUCAGGAGGAACACCGGUGGCGAAGGCGGGUCUCUGGGCAGUAACUGACGCUGAGGAGCGAAAGCGUGGGGAGCGAACAGG
rnacentral:rRNA from 1 species